GUGGGGAAUCUUGCACAAUGGGGGCAACCCUGAUGCAGCGACGCCGCGUGAGCGAUGAAGCCUUUCGGGGUGUAAAGCUCUUUCGGCCGGAACGAUAAUGACGGUACCGGCAGAAGAAGCUGCGGCUAACUACGUGCCAGCAGCCGCGGUAAUACGUAGGCAGCAAGCGUUGUUCGGAGUUACUGGGCGUAAAGAGUACGUAGGCGGUGCCGCAAGUCCGGUGUGAAAUCUCCUGGCUCAACUGGGAGGGUGCGCUGGAAACUGCGGUGCUAGAGUGCGGGAGAGGAAAGCGGAAUUCCUGGUGUAGCGGUGAAAUGCGUAGAGAUCAGGAGGAACACCUGUGGUGUAGACGGCUUUCUGGACCGUGACUGACGCUGAGGUACGAAAGCGUGGGGAGCAAACAGG
rnacentral:rRNA from 1 species